AUCUUUCCCCAGAGAUUUUUGUCAUUUGCAUUUCAAUGGAAGAAAUAGGAAAAAAAAUGUUGCAUCAAAAAAUGAAACAUAUCAUUCAGAAUUGUUGUUACAUAGUAAAUCAAGUCCUUAGGCAACCUCAGAUUAGAACUAGGUCCCAAAGUCUCCAUCAUCUUGAAAUCAGAACUCUUACACAUUGCUGGCGGAACAUAAAAAGCUACCGUCACUGUGGAAAACAGUUUGGCAGUUCCUGAAAAAGUUAAACAUAGAAUUAAUAUAUGAUCCACAAUUACAUUCCCAGGCAUUUACUCAAAAGAAUUGAAAAUAGGACUCAGAUACUUGUAUGCCAAUGUUCAUAAAUCACUAUUCACAAUAACCAAAAGGUGGAAAUAACCCAAGUCCAUCAACAGAGGAAUGAACAAUUAAAAUGUAAUAUGUACAUAAAAAUGAAAUAUAAUCCAGCUAUCAAAAAAACAUAAUUCUGGAUACAUACUACAACAUGAGUGUAUUAACUUUCUGUUGCUAUACCAAAAUACCUGAGGGAUAACUAAAUUGUAAAGAGAAAACAUUUAGUUUUGGCUCAGAGUUUUGGAGAUUCUGGUCCAAUUGCUGCAGGCCUUGGAUGGGCAUGGCAAUGACAAUGAUGGGGAGCAUAUGCAUUAUGGCAACCUGCUUACCUAAUAGCCAGGAAACAAAAGAGAAUAAGGAAGUGCCCAGGCUUCCACAUUUCCCUUCCAGGGCAUGUCUCUGGUGACCUGAAGACCUCCUAGAAGACCCCACUCCUAAAGAUCCACAGCAUCUUCCAACAGCGCCAAGAGCUUCCAAUAGCUGGGGACCAAGCCUUUAACACAGGGACCCUUAGGAGAUGUUCAACAUCCAAACUAUUGUCAUGAAAACAUGCUAAGUGAAAUAAGCCAAGACAUAAAAAGACAAAUAUUGUGUGAUUCCUCUGAUAUGAAAUAUCUAGAAGGAGCAAAUUCAUAGAGAGAGCAAGUAAGUCAAAAAUUAUAGAGGCAAAGGGCGGAAGGGGGAAUGAGGAGUUAUUGGUUAAUGGGUACAGUGUUUGGAGUGAUAAAAAAAAAUUUGGAAAAAGGCACUGCUGAUGGUUGAAAAUCUUUGUGAAUGUAAUUAAUGCCUCUGUAUUAUAUACUUAAUGAUGUUAAACUAGAAAAAAAUCACAUUUUACAUGUAUGACCACAAUGUUUAAUAAAAUUUCUCAAUCCUUUCCUCCCCAUGACAUUUCACUUUAACUGAG
rnacentral:lncRNA from 1 species